AUCUCUUCGGAGACAUCAAUAAAAUUGGAACGAUACAGAAAAGAUUAGCAAGCCCUUACGCAAAAAUGACACGCAUAAAUCGAGAAAUAAUCUAAAUUUUU